UAAAAAGGCACGAACACGAAAAAAAACUGGAAGAAGAGCAGUGGAAUCGAGUGAAAUUCAACGACCAAUCUCAUUAUACCAAAUUUUCUGAAUUUGGCAUUCAAACAAGCGUCUGUUUAAAUAUUACAUGAAAAGAGUUCAAUUGCUGCUGGUGUCAAGGGGGGAGAAACGGGGCAGUAUCGUUCCAGCUCGCAGGUGCCAUCGACCAGGCACCAACGUAACCAUUAUCAUUGGAGCAUCGUUGGCUUAAUUGGGCUACCUGGUGUGGUAUACAACACACUGGACCCCAACCGUAUUACUCUGUGUUUUCGUGCUCGCGAAAUUUCACUCGUGCGCAACGACGCAUAAUUUCCAAACUGUGCGACGGUUAUCGCUCGGUUGUGAUACGCAUCGCAAAUCUCGAAAGGGUCAUGAUUGGGGGAAGGGGUUGGAGCAGUUAAUUUGUGUAUUUCCAUGGGAUCUUUCAUGUUUGUUGGAUUCAAUUAUUAAUUAUUGUUAAUGAUUACUGAAUUGGAAAUGAAAAAGAGCAAUAUUGUUCUUACCUUUCCGAUAGAAAGGUUAUGGUAAUUACACUGAGAAUCAUUCCUCGAUUUAUCAUCAAAUGUUGACGUUUGAAGUUCUCCGUAUUCUUCUUUAUCCACUUUCACUAACAUACCCACAUGCAUGUGUGUUCAUAUUUCCCAUUCAUAGUAGGGGUGACCGGAGCACAGCGGGGUGACCGGGGCAUAGUGGGGUACAUAAAAAAAGGCCAAAAUGAAGAAAUUCAAAGGGUUGACGAGAGGUCCAUCAAGGAUCAAAAUGAAAAGUUGAAAACAGCUCGAAAAACUCGAAUAAUACUAAGGAACAAUUUUUAAAAAAUGGAAGAACUCUGGAAAUUCUUUCAAUUUUUUCAAAUACCGGGGUGAGCCGCCAUAUUGAUAUUUUGAUUAAAACCCUACCGAUUUAAGAGUUUUUCUGUCGUUUUGUGGAGAUUCGAAGGGGAAAAAUAAAGAAAGAACAUUUAUAAUUAUUUUAAAGUGUUUGGACACUACCUUAAUUGUAAUACGUUGGCGACAUGAGUUGAUAAUGUUGGAAUAUGGAUAGUGAUUGCUAAAAAAAAUAUAAGUAUGAUAGAAGCUCUGAUA